rnacentral:piRNA from 1 species
UGGCCAACCUAACCAGUGCAAACCAGU